UGCUUGAUCAAUAUAGGAGUUCUUUAACUCCUAAAAUUGUACAAGCUCUUGUGUGUACUCAAGAUUGGAUUCGAAAAUCAUCAUCACAAGAAGACAUAAAAAAGAUUGAAGAACAAAUCCAAGAGCUUGACAAUAUUGAAAAUGACAUUUCUUGGAAUGCAUUAGAGCCUACCCUAGAUUCAUGAGCUUUCGUGAGUUGAAGGGUUUAAUGCAAAUGGAGAUAUUUUGGAGAGAUGAAAGGGAUAUAAAUAGAGAAUAUUAAAGACUUACAUUUCAAUUAUGUGUUAAUUUCAAGACUUAUGUAAUAUUUUUAAUUAUGUAGUGAUUCAAAGACUUAUGUAAUAUUUUUAAUUAUGUAGUGAUUCAAAGAUUUAUGUAAUGUUUUUAAUUAUGUUGUGAUUCA